GUGGUGCAUGGCUGUCGUCAGCUCGUGUCGUGAGAUGUUGGGUUAAGUCCCGCAACGAGCGCAACCCUCGUUUUUAGUUGCCAUCAUUAAGUUGGGCACUCUAGAGAGACUGCCAGUGACAAACUGGAGGAAGGUGGGGAUGACGUCAAGUCAGCAUGCCCCUUACGUCCUGGGCUACACACGUACUACAAUGCGACGGACAAAGGGCAGCGAGCGAGCGAUCGUCAGCUAAUCCCAUAAACCGUGGCUCAGUUCAGAUCGCAGGCUGCAACUCGCCUGCGUGAAGGAGGAAUCGCUAGUAAUUGCAGGUCAGCAUACUGCAGUGAAUUCGUUCCCGGGUCGACGCGGCCG
rnacentral:rRNA from 1 species